rnacentral:rRNA from 1 species
AUUGAACGCUGGCGGCAUGCCUUACACAUGCAAGUCGAACGGUAACGCGGGGCAACCUGGCGACGAGUGGCGAACGGGUGAGUAAUGUAUCGGAACGUGCCCAGUUGUGGGGGAUAACUGCUCGAAAGAGCAGCUAAUACCGCAUACGACCUGAGGGUGAAAGCGGGGGAUCGCAAGGCCUCGCGCAAUUGGAGAGGCCGAUAUCAGAUUAGGUAGUUGGUGGGGUAAAGGCCCACCAAGCCAACGAUCUGUAGCUGGUCUGAGAGGACGACCAGCCACACUGGGACUGAGACACGGCCCAGACUCCUACGGGAGGCAGCAGUGGGGAAUUUUGGACAAUGGACGCAAGUCUGAUCCAGCCAUGCCGCGUGCGGGAAGAAGGCCUUCGGGUUGUAAACCGCUUUUGUCAGGGAAGAAAAGGGCGACUCUAAUACAGUUGCCUCAUGACGGUACCUGAAGAAUAAGCACCAGCUAACUACGUGCCAGCCGCCGCCGUAACAC